UUGAGAGUUAACCAUGGCUUGGGUUUUCAGCUCUUUAUUGAUGGUUUUCUAUAUUGUAAAAAUUGACUUGGAGAAUGCAUUAUACUGAAAGUGGCACAACUUUUGUGCUCUUGCCAUUUUCUUAUUAAUUUCAAGUGGGAUAGCUUGAAUUGACGUGUGAUACUUGAGAUCAUUUAAUAGUGUUCAUGAGUCAAUCAUAAUAUUUUUGAAUUUAAGCUUGGUUAUCUGCUUUGGUUUAUGUAAUUUGAUUGGAGUUUCCUCACAUUCAUUUUAAACAGGUUCCUGGUCAGCGGUAUUGUCCACCCGUGGAAGUCUUUAAGAGUUACUGCAGAGAAGUUAGAAAAGGUUGUGUGAGACCAAACAGCUCCCGGUAUUAUCUCUCUUUUGUUGAUCAAGGUGGAGAGGGGAAUCGAUCAGAACCAGUAGAACCUCAUCUGGUAGUCCAAAUGGACACAGAGAGUUCUGUACUGUACCACAAAACCUGCCUCGACUAUUGUUUUGAAAAACCAAUAAAGGUGUCUUACAUCGCUACUGCUUUGAUGGAUGCGAAGCUUGGCACGGAAGGCCGCAAGGAUCUUUUUGAUUGGCUAUCAAGGAAACUUAGUGGAUUAAGCAAUUUUCCUGAUGCUGUAAAUCUGAAUUAUGUAUUGUUUCAAAUUGUUAUGUGAGAUGGAUGUGACUUGUGAAUGAAAACUUAGAAUAGUAAUAUUGUGUCGAAUGUUAAUGAUUCAGUUAAUUUGAAUGAUGUUUUAAAAUUA